GAUCUCUCAGGCGCCUUCCCCUUUCCGCCGCGGCGCGCGACUUGGUUCAGUGGAGUUCAAGUUGUUGAUGAACUUAAGGUCUGGUGCCUCAAAGAAUCUGUUUUUCAAGUGGAUAAGGAGAGUUUGAGUAUGUGACCAUUGAUAUAUUCAGACUAGAGGUUUUUGCUUUUUUGUCCCUUUUCAGGAUGGUAGCAGGGGUGAAUUUUGAGAUAGUCCCAAUUAUCUAUAGGAGAAUUUAUCUGAGAAUUCUGUGCCUCUGCCCUGUAGCUGAGUUGGCCCCAUAGUGAAUUUCUGUAGAAUUCAAUUCCAUUAUUUAAAGUAGUUUUUCUAUCUACUAGCCCUGGUCUGAAACUUGAUACAGUGCUAACGCCAAAGAGCAAGUCCUUAAUCCUGGUUCAUGUGCUCUACAAAGAUAUGACUAAGUCUAGUUCUGAAAGUGGGAGUUUUAGAACAUAGUAAUUCUAACUAGAUGAUCUAUUUCACAACUAAGACUACUUUAUGAACUGUGCUUUAACUUAUAAAAGUCAUUUUUUGAGUCCCAUUCUUUUGAUUAUUCUGAAAAUAUGUUUUAUAGGAUAGUCAUAAAUAAUUACUGUUGAAUAUAUAUGGCAAUGGUGGGCUUAAUUCUACCUAAGAUUAAAGUAUCUCACUUUUAAAAACUUAGUUUGUGUGCGUGUAUUUUUUGGUAGCUUCUGGGUAGUUUGUGUAUUUCAUAUACUACAGAUUUUUCUGCGCCUGUUCUACGUCUUGAUUGUGGAAGGACUAUGCAUUUGUCAAGUCUCAUACUUAAUAGCUGCACUUUAAAUCUCAUCUGUAGUAUGGCACUUUCCCCUCAGUUUUUUCAUAGUCCAUUCUAGUGGCCACGAGGGAAUGGGGUGUGGAAAUUCUAUUAACCAUUGCUCUGUUAAUGCUCCUGUGGAUUUGUUGCAGCCUUGCUUUCCAUAUUGGCUAUUUUCCAUCCCAAGAAACUUGAGGAUGUCCUUGGCAGAUACUAGCUAGCCAGGAAAUUAGAAAAAUGAGGUUAGAUGCUGAGUAGUUGUGGGUUGAGCUCAAAACAUGAUGCUGUGUAAACCACAUGAUUGACUGAAAGCCAGCCUAUGAAGGUUUUUCCUUGGAAGAUUCAAGGAUGCUUCUGAAUGGAGGGAUAGGUUCAAGUAUUGAGGAGGCAUUGUUAUUUCCUGUAGGUGAUUGGUCUAAACAAAGGGCCUGUUGAGCCCUACCCUGGUGACCAAAGUACUUCUGACAUGGGCUGAGUUGUACCAUCUUGCCUGUAUGGGCAAACAAAGCCCUUCAGAUAUGUCCCCUUAAGGUUCCAGGUUUUAAUGACUCCUUACUGCUCCCCUCAUCACCAAAUCCCCUUCCCUAUGCCCUAGUGAUAACAGAAUUUAUCCAAAACAGUGCCUUGGUUAAGAAGUCUAGCAUCACCAAAGAAAAUGGGGUGAGUUCUGCAGAAUCAACUCCCUCCUUGCUUCAGUGCAAGCCUGCAUGUUCAGCACAGCUAAAGCAGGAACGGAAAGAUGCCAACAUGACUUACACUACCAGACCACUCCUUUGUGCUCAUGUGCCCUGAAGGGGAGUGAAACAAACCUGGAGUUGAAUGAAAUGUUUUCAAAGUGGAACUUACUAAUUCCAAGGGAGGAACUUGGGCAUGAAGAGAAUCUUUAAUUAUGACUAUAAAAGAAAUUGUGAUUUGAAUAUAGUUUUUAUGCUAAUGAUACUAACCUCCCCAGAUAGUGAUGGAACUUGCCCAGUAUAACAAUGGUGCCACUGUUGUAUCAGUUUAGGUAGAUUGAGUCAUACAUAAUUUGAUUUCAAGCCCAUUUUGUCUAAAGAACUCUACAGUGUUCGUAAGUGCUUGAGUACAAGUAGAUUUUUUUCUUACAAGUAAGCAAAUCUUGUUUAAGUGAGUAUGUCAGACUAAAUAAAGUAUUUGUAAUUUUGAGGGUCCUAAAGCCUUAAAUAUUUAAUGAUAUAAUUUGGCAACUAUUUACUGACCUGCCAUAUGUUAAGUCCUGUGAUAGAGAUAAUUCCUAACUUUAUCGAGCCUGCACAGUGUGAUUUAUUCAUUUCAAUAUGUAAGAAGGAGCUGGUUAGACCGUGCACUUCUGUUGUAAGGAAUAAUUUCUCUUAGUGUUUGGGUCAAUAUCUGAAAAAUUCAAUUGUUAGAACAAGCUGUGAAGAGACUAUCAUGUCUCUUUAUACAUGGUAACAUCACCACAUUCCCAAAAUAAUUUGAGGUGGUCUAUAAACAAAUAUCAACCUGCAAUAAUUAGAAUAAGGAAUAAAAGUUCAGCGAGAUGACAGCAAGAAUAAAAACUGAGCCAUCAGGUCUCAUGCUAUAGGGUCUGGCCAAUUUGGCUCUUCCUAA